rnacentral:rRNA from 1 species
CGAACCUACGGGGGGCAGCAGUGGGGAAUAUUGCACAAUGGGGGAAACCCUGAUGCAGCGACGCCGCGUGAGUGAAGAAGUAUUUCGGUACGUAAAGCUCUAUCAGCAGGGAAGAAAAUGACGGUACCUGACUAAGAAGCCCCGGCUAACUACGUGCCAGCAGCCGCGGUAAUACGUAGGGGGCAAGCGUUAUCCGGAUUUACUGGGUGUAAAGGGGGCGCAGACGGCAAUGCAAGCCAGGAGUGAAAGCCCGGGGCCCAACCCCGGGACUGCUCUUGGACCUGCAUGGCUGGAGUACAGGAGGG